rfam:Phialocephala subalpina strain TAMH 11012 genome assembly, contig: PAC_scaffold_025
UCCCUCGUGGCGCAAUUGGCUAGCGCGUUCGACUGUUAUGCAGCAGAAUAUCGAGAGGUUGGUGGUUCGAGCCCACCCGAGGGAG